rnacentral:rRNA from 1 species
CUCCCAGACUCCUACGGGAGGCAGCAGUGAGGAAUAUUGGUCAAUGGGCGAGAGCCUGAACCAGCCAAGUCGCGUGAGGGAGUACUGCCCUAUGGGUUGUAAACCUCUUUUGUCGGGGAGCAAAAGCCGGACGUGUCCGGCUGUGAGAGUACCCGAAGAAAAAGCAUCGGCUAACUCCGUGCCAGCAGCCGCGGUAAUACGGAGGAUGCGAGCGUUAUCCGGAUUUAUUGGGUUUAAAGGGUGCGUAGGCGGAUGGUUAAGUCAGGGGUCAAUUGGAGGGGCCCACCCCCUCCCCGCCAUUGAAACUGGCGCUCUUGAGUGGAAGAGAAGUAUGCGGAAUGCGUGGUGUAGCGGUGAAAUGCAUAGAUAUCACGCAGAACCCCGAUUGCGAAGGCAGCAUGCCGGCUUCCGACUGACGCUGAAGCACGAAAGCGUGGGGAUCGAACAGGAUUAGAUACCCUCGUAA